rnacentral:rRNA from 1 species
CACGUAGGGUGCGAGCGUUGUCCGGAAUUAUUGGGCGUAAAGAGCUCGUAGGCGGUGUGUCGCGUCGGCCGUGAAAACCUGCAGCUUAACUGUGGGCGUGCGGUCGAUACGGGCAUCACUGGAGUUCGGCAGGGGAGACUGGAACUCCUGGUGUAGCGGUGAAAUGCGCAGAUAUCAGGAGGAACAUCGGUGGCGAAGGCGGCAUCCUGGACCGAUAUUGACGCUGAGGCGCGAAAGCCAGGGGAGCAAACGGG